UUAGCUGGUUGGGAGGGGUAACGGCCUACCAAGGCGACGAUCAGUAGCCGGCCUGAGAGGGCGGACGGCCACAUUGGGACUGAGACACGGCCCAGACUCCUACGGGAGGCAGCAGUGGGGAAUAUUGCACAAUGGGGGGAACCCUGAUGCAGCGACGCCGCGUGAGUGAAGAAGUAUUUCGGUACGUAAAGCUCUAUCAGCAGGGAAGAAAAAAGGACGGUACCUGAGUAAGAAGCCCCGGCUAACUACGUGCCAGCAGCCGCGGUAAUACGUAGGGGGCAAGCGUUAUCCGGAAUUACUGGGUGUAAAGGGAGCGUAGACGGCAAUGCAAGUCCGGAGUGGAAUGCGGCAGCUCAACUGCCGAACUGCUCUGGAAACUGUAUGGCUUGAGUGCAGGAGGGGUAAGCGGAAUUCCUGGUGUAGCGGUGAAAUGCGUAGA
rnacentral:rRNA from 1 species